rnacentral:rRNA from 1 species
GACGUAGGGCGCGAGCGUGUCCGGAUUUAUUGGGCGUAAAGAGCUCGUAGGCGGUGUGUCGCGUCGGCCGUGAAAACCUGCAGCUUAACUGUGGGCGUGCGGUCGAUACGGGCAUCACUGGAGUUCGGCAGGGGAGACUGGAAUUCCUGGUGUAGCGGUGAAAUGCGUAGAUAUCUGGAGGAACACCGGGUGGCGAAGGCGGCAUCCUGGACCAACACUGACACUGAGGAGCGAAAGCCAGGGGAGCAA